rnacentral:rRNA from 1 species
GAUGAACGCUGGCGGCGUGCCUAAUACAUGCAAGUCGAGCGAACAGAUGAGGAGCUUGCUCCUCUGACGUUAGCGGCGGACGGGUGAGUAACACGUGGAUAACCUACCUAUAAGACUGGGAUAACUUCGGGAAACCGGAGCUAAUACCGGAUAAUAUAUUGAACCGCAUGGUUCAAUAGUGAAAGACGGUUUUGCUGUCACUUAUAGAUGGAUCCGCGCCGCAUUAGCUAGUUGGUAAGGUAACGGCUUACCAAGGCAACGAUGCGUAGCCGACCUGAGAGGGUGUCCGCCCCCCCUGGACUGGAGCCCCGGCCCAGACCCCUCGGGGGGGCGGCAGGGGGGAUUCUCCCGCAAGGGGCGAAGCCCUGCGGGAGCAACCCCGGGGGAUGGAUGAGGGUCUUCGGAUCUAAAACCUCUUUUAUGGGGAAAAAACAAAUGGGUAAGUAACUUGGCACGUCUUGACGUUCCCUAAUAAAAAACCCCCGGCUACCUCCGCC